GUGUGUGUGUGUGUGUGUGUGGCAGCUAGAGUAACAUUACUUGAAUUUAUGUGAGGAUAGUGUUGUAGGAGUGAUAAUGGGGUGAGGCGGAAAUUGUUUUUCUAUUCCCAUUCCUGUGUCAACCGGAAAUCAGGCAGGGAUAGGGUGGGAAUGGGUAUCCUUUUUUUGUCUUUUAAGAUUUUAUAAAUUGUCCCUUUUUGUUUUACUUAAACAUCUUUCAUUUUUAUUUUUCGUUAAUCCUUUGCCAAAAAAAAAAAGCAUCAUUUGUUUAGUCUUACCUUGUGAUGUGAUAUAGACUAUAGAGUUCUGAACAAUGAAUGUUUUAUGAAGUGAAGAUUCUUGUAACUGCUUGAAUGCUCCGUCUCUCCCUUCUCUGUUGUCUGCAUGUGUGUGUGUACUCAUGCAUCUGCAUCCGAUGACUAGCAUAGCUACAAAUUAUAGACUUCAGUGAAGAAAGGUAUGACAUGUCUGCUCCAGUGUUUGGUGAGAGAAGACUGUCAGACUGAUGAGCAUGAUAUCUACCAAGCUCCUAUUCUUCUAACCACCUUAGAAGGCUCAACAAGAAGUAAAUGAUUGCUUCCUGAGAGUAACAGAUGAUCGUGCGAGUAUUAUGUAAUAUGUAUAUGCAAUUAAUCCUUAAGCUAAAAACAUCAGGGCAAGGGAGGGAAGGAAGGAGAGGCAUAAAAACUAUUUUGUUAUACUAGUUCAUGUAGGCUUUCUCCAGAUUAAGUGCUGAUGCAUCUUCCACAAUUCCAGGUACAAUGUAUUGGGCCUAUCUA
rnacentral:misc_RNA from 1 species